rnacentral:sRNA from 1 species
AACCCGGGGCUCCGAGCCGGAGCCGAGUCUGCGCCUGGGGGCCCUUAUCUCCAGAGGCCAGAGCUUCCAUCCACCCAGGCAGCCUAGUGAUCUGUCCUCACUGCCCCCUCCCCACGCCCACCCUACUGGGCCAUGAAGGGGAUGGGGGCAAGCCCAGCUGACUGCUCCACCCUCUGCCCAGGAGGACCAUGCGGCAGUAGCAGCCAUGCUGCCCUUUCUGCUGGCCACACUGGGCACCACGGCCCUCAACAACAGCAACCCCAAGGACUACUGCUACAGCGCCCGCAUCCGCAGCACUGUCCUGCAGGGCCUGCCCUUUGGGGGCGUCCCCACCGUGCUGGCUCUUGACUUCAUGUGCUUCCUUGCACUGCUGUUCUUAUUCUCUAUCCUCCGGAAGGUGGCCUGGGACUAUGGGCGGCUGGCCUUGGUGACAGAUGCAGACAGGCUUCGGCGGCAGGAGAGGGACCGAGUGGAACAGGAAUAUGUGGCUUCAGCUAUGCACGGGGACAGCCAUGACCGGUAUGAGCGUCUCACCUCUGUCUCCAGCUCCGUUGACUUCGACCAAAGGGACAAUGGUUUCUGUUCCUGGCUGACAGCCAUCUUCAGGAUAAAGGAUGAUGAGAUCCGGGACAAAUGUGGGGGCGAUGCCGUGCACUACCUGUCCUUUCAGCGGCACAUCAUCGGGCUGCUGGUGGUUGUGGGCGUCCUCUCCGUAGGCAUCGUGCUGCCUGUCAACUUCUCAGGGGACCUGCUGGAGAACAAUGCCUACAGCUUUGGGAGAACCACCAUUGCCAACCUGAAAUCAGGGAACAACCUGCUAUGGCUGCACACCUCCUUCGCCUUCCUGUAUCUGCUGCUCACCGUCUACAGCAUGCGUAGACACACCUCCAAGAUGCGCUACAAGGAGGAUGAUCUGGUGAAGCGGACCCUCUUCAUCAAUGGAAUCUCCAAAUAUGCAGAGUCAGAAAAGAUCAAGAAGCAUUUUGAGGAAGCCUACCCCAACUGCACAGUUCUUGAAGCCCGCCCAUGUUACAACGUGGCUCGCCUAAUGUUCCUCGAUGCAGAGAGGAAGAAGGCCGAGCGGGGAAAGCUGUACUUCACAAACCUCCAGAGCAAGGAGAACGUGCCCACCAUGAUCAACCCCAAGCCCUGUGGCCACCUUUGCUGCUGCGUGGUGCGAGGCUGUGAGCAGGUGGAGGCCAUUGAGUACUACACAAAGCUGGAGCAGAAGCUGAAGGAAGACUACAAGCGGGAGAAGGAGAAGGUGAAUGAGAAGCCUCUUGGCAUGGCCUUCGUCACCUUCCACAAUGAGACCAUCACCGCCAUCAUCCUGAAGGACUUCAACGUGUGUAAAUGCCAGGGCUGCACCUGCCGCGGGGAGCCACGCCCCUCAUCCUGCAGCGAGUCCCUACACAUCUCCAACUGGACCGUGUCCUAUGCCCCUGACCCCCAGAACAUCUACUGGGAGCACCUCUCCAUCCGAGGCUUCAUCUGGUGGCUGCGCUGCCUGGUCAUCAAUGUCGUCCUCUUCAUCCUCCUCUUCUUCCUCACCACUCCAGCCAUCAUCAUCACCACCAUGGACAAGUUCAAUGUCACCAAGCCUGUGGAGUACCUCAACGUGAGGCCCCAUGCCCCUGUCACUUUCCAUGCUGGGUCACAACACACAGAUACCAGGCCCUGAUCCCUCUUCCACCUGCCCAGCCCAGCCCGUUCUGCUUGUUCCAACCCCGUGCCACCAACCAGCUCCCAAAAACCCCUGUGUGCACUUCCCUUGGGCUCCCUGCCACCUUCCCCCUCAGAGAGGCCACCCUCAGGUGUGCAGCACCUGGAGAAACACCCAGGGAAGAGAGAGAGCCUGCAUUUAGUCCUGAUCUCAGAGAAGUCCCCUUCCCUCACCCCUCAGUCUUUCUAACUGAAAAAAUGGAAAGGUUCGACUAG